AUGGAGGAGCUGAGCGCGGCGCUGGCGGCCGGCGCCGUCCUGGCGGCUCCCAACAGCCCGGCCGGUCCUCACCCCCGGCUGGCCGCCUACAAGGCCCGCGGCGGGCCGGGGCAGGCCGAACGCCGCCGGCGCCUCCUCCGCCUCCAGAGAGAGAGGCGGCUGGACUACGUGAACCAUGCCAGGAGGUUGGCAGAGGACGACUGGGCAGGGGUGGAGAGCGAGGGCGAAGAGAAGGAGGAAGAUGCGGAGGAAGAGGAGAUGGACGUGGAUGCUGGCAAGAAGUUGCCCAAGCGCUACGCCAAUCAGCUGAUGCUGUCAGAAUGGCUGGUUGAUGUCCCCUUGGAUCUGGAGCAGGAGUGGGUUGUAGUGGUGUGUCCUGUCGGGAAAAGGGCGCUCGUCGUGGCGUCCAGGGGCACAACAGCAGCUUACACCAAGAGUGGCUUCUGUGUCAACAGGUUCCCAUCACUGCUGCCAGGGGGGAACCGGCACAAUUCAACGAGUGAGAAAGUGUACUGCAUCUUGGACUGCAUCUACAAUGAGGCAAAGCAGACGUACUAUAUCCUCGACGUGAUGUGCUGGAGAGGACACCCUGUUUAUGACUGCCAGACCGACUUCAGAUUCUUCUGGCUCUCCUCAAAGAUCCAAGAGGAGGAAGGGCUGGGAGAGAAAAGCAGGAUUAAUCCAUUCAAAUUUGUGGGCCUGCAGAACUUCCCCUGCUCCUCGGACAGCCUGUGUAAGGUGCUGGCUAUGGACUUCCCCUUCGAGGUCGAUGGACUUCUCUUCUAUCACAAACAAACCCACUAUACCCCCGGCAGCACCCCGCUGGUGGGCUGGCUCCGGCCUUACAUGGUACCCGAAAUCCUCGGGCUUGCCGUGCCCACUACCGUGCUCACUGCCAAACCAGACUAUGCUGGGCGUCAGCUCCAGCAGAUCAUUGAGAGCAAGAAGAUUAAAAAGCUGGCAGCAGAAAAGGGUCACCUGAGCAUUGCAGCGGCUGCAAGGAAUGGACAUUACGAGCUGGAACACUUGUCUACCCCUCAGCCAGAAAACUCUCUGGAGGGCCAGGAUGAAGCAGUGAGCCAGAUGGAGAAUUAGGCUGCUGGGACAGACUGGUUGGGUAAGGAGAAAGCAAAAGGUUCCCUGCUUCUUACUGUCACUCACCCUCCCUGAGAGGGGGACAAAGCAUGUGAAGCAGCUGGCCCGAGGGAAGAGAACAAACACCUGGACUGCCUUGAACUCCCCGUCCCUCGAAGGCUCUGGGCUGCUCCGGCUGUGGGUUCCCCCUAUGCUUUGGCCUCACCAGCUGGCAGAGGAU